GGAUGGAGGAGAGAAGACUGAGAGCGAAGCUGGAAAAGAAAACAAAGAAACCCAAGGCAGCAGAGUCUGUUUUAAAACCAGAUGUCAGUGAAGGUAAGAUCCUUCAAGAGAUCCUUAUUUUAGCAAAAUACAACUCUAGGGCAGUCUGCUAAUAUGUUCAUGCUUUGUUUUGCAUUGUUUUUGCUUUGCCUACUUUGUUUCUUUUACAGAAGCCCCAGGGCCAUCAAAAGUUAAGACAGGGAAGCCUGAAGAAGCCAGCCUUGAUUCUAGAGAGAAGAAAACCAACUUGGCUCCCAAAAGCACAGCAACAAAUGAGAGCUCUUCUGGAAAAGCUGGGAAGCCUCCGUGUGGAGCCACAAAGAGGUCCAUCGCUGACAGUGAAGAAUCAGAGGCCUACAAGUCCCUCUUUACCACUCACAGCUCCGCCAAGCGCUCCAAGGAGGAGUCUGCCCACUGGGUCACCC
rnacentral:sRNA from 1 species